AAAAGGUGGAACAAGUGUGAAAAUUUGUUGCACUUGUUAAAAUGCGGUUAAAAAGUUGCGACAUUUACGAGUAGUCAUUUCUCAUGUAGGCUUGUGGGAAUGCAUGUCAAACAAGCAGGUGUAGCGAAAGAAAGCUGAAAAGAAGAGUAAGGUGCACAAAUAAUUAAAUUAAAUGCAGUUUUCACCGCCGCAAAUCAACUUUAGAAAGUUUUGUGCAAUAAUUUAAAAUAAAGUAAAAUAAAAAAAAAACAAGACAACACGUUAACUUUGGCUGCACCGAAGGUAUAAUACCGUUCACAGGUGGAUAUUUUGUAGCUUAAAAUGAAUUGAUUCUUCGUGGGAUAACGCUUCACAAAAUAAAACAAUGAUUGGAUAACAAUUUUCGUUUUUGACAGUUUGAUCGAUGAUUCAUGACUCCGAUGCGAGGAAACUUUGACAUCGUAAACAAGAAGUGAACAAAAAAGAAUAGAGGAAACUUGGAGCAUCAACUAAGAUGAAUUUAUCAGCACUUUCUCUUACAUGCGAGUAUAAUGGAUGAGCAUGUAGAGCAAUACCGUCUAACGGUAUUAGGUUUGUCGGGUUAUAAAGGCGGCACGCAAACGACAGCCGGGCGGAGAUGCUUUGAAUAAAAAAUGAUUAUCGCACGUGAGUGUUCGAGAGAUAACAGGAUAAUACAUGCUCAUGUACAUACGUACGCGUGUGAAAUUAGGAAAGUGCAUGUAAAGUGAAGAAAUUUUUAAAUCAACGUUAGCAAACGAAUAGCUGAUUAUUGAACGAACUUACUAGGUUAAAAUGCUAG